GUUAUUUCCUUUCCCAUUCAAGAGUUGUUGAACAUUUUCUUGUAGGCCGAUAUGUCCUGUGUAAAUGGAGUAACGUUAGAAAAUAUAUUCUCUCUACCACACCAGGAAUGCAAAUAUGGUCGUGUUGACACAGAUCAACAAUGGAAGGCACAAUCCGCAGAAUACGGUCCAGGCUGGAUGAGAUCUCUCUGAUGGUGGAGAGGGAGUUCCAGACUUUGACGUCACAGACAGAGAAAGAUCGACAUGACCUCUCCGUCUCCUCUCAGCGCCCUGACGAUGUCCGGUGUGACGACUGUUCCCAUGGCGAUGACCCCAUAUGGGAGACACAGGUGGAGAAGAAGAAGGAGGAGGAAAAGGUGAACCCAGAGGAGGAGCAAAGGAGGGACAUUGCCAAGUACCUCAGGGGCCUCCUGAUCCCAGGGCAGGAGGGUAGAGGGGAGGACAGUUCCAUCAUGGUGGAACCUCUCCAUAUUCCUAACCCUUACCUGUUGGACUCCAUCCUGCUGAACCCUGACCUCGGUGCUAACCUCUCCCAUUUAGUUCCUGACUUGCUCCCUGAUCUCUCAUCCCUGCUCCCCAACCUGGCCCCCAACCUGGCCCCCAGCCUGCUCCCCAACCUGGCCCCCGACCUGGCCCCCAGC
rnacentral:lncRNA from 1 species